rnacentral:rRNA from 1 species
AGAGUUUGAUCCUGGCUCAGGAUGAACGCUGGCGGCGUGCCUAACACAUGCAAGUCGAACGAAGAGGCCCCUUCGGGGGUACUUCAGUGGCGGACGGGUGAGUAACACGUAGGUGACCUGCCCCGAAGUGUGGAAUAACAGUCCGAAAGGAUUGCUAAUACCGCAUGUGGUCUGUGAGGUUAGAGUCUUGCAGACUAAAGCAGCAAUGUGCUUCGGGAGGGGCCUGCGCCCCAUCAGCUAGUUGGUAGGGUAAUGGUCUACCAAGGCGAUGAUCGGUAGCUGGUCUGAGAGGAUGAUCAGCCAGACUGGGACUGGGACACGGCCCAGACUCCUACGGGAGGCAGCAGUUAGGAAUUUUGGGCAAUGGCCGCAAGGCUGACCCAGCAACGCCGCGUGGGGGACGAAGGCUUUCGGGUUGUAAACCCCUUUUCUCGGGGACGAUCGUGACGGUACCCGAGGAAUCAGCCCCGGCUAACUACGUGCCAGCAGCCGCGGUAAUACGUAGGGGGCGAGCGUUGUCCGGAUUUAUUGGGCGUAAAGCGCGCGUAGGCGGUGCGGUAAGUCGGCCGUGAAAUCUCCAGGCUCAACUUGGAGGGGUCGGGCGAGACUGCCGCGCUAGAGGUGGGCAGAGGCCGGUGGAAUUCCGGGUGUAGUGGUGGAAUGCGUAGAGAUCCGGAGGAACACCAGUGGCGAAGGCGGCCGGCUGGGCCUGGCCUGACGCUGAGGCGCGAAAGCGUGGGGAGCGAUCCGGAUUAGAUACCCGGGUAGUCCACGCCGUAAACGAUGGGCACUAGGUGUCGGGGGUAUCGACCCCCUCGGUGCCGGCGCUAACGCAAUAAGUGCCCCGCCUGGGGAGUACGGCCGCAAGGCUAAAACUCAAAGGAAUUGACGGGGGCCCGCACAAGCAGCGGAGCGUGUGGUUUAAUUCGAUGCAACGCGCAGAACCUUACCCAGGCUUGACAUGCCCGAAGUAGAACGGGGAAACCCGAACGACCUGUUGAGUCAGGAGCGGGCACAGAUGCUGCAUGGCUGUCGUCAGCUCGUGCCGUGAGGUGUUGGGUUAAGUCCCGCAACGAGCGCAACCCUCGUCGCCAGUUACUUUCCUGGCGAGACCGCCGGGAUCAACCCGGAGGAAGGUGGGGAUGACGUCAAGUCAGCACGGCUCUUACGUCUGGGGCUACACACACGCUACAAUGGCCGGUACAAUGGGCAGCUAAGGGGCGACCCGGCGCGAAUCCCAGCAAAGCCGGCCUCAGUGGGGAUCGGAGGCUGCAACUCGCCUCCGUGAACGCGGAGUUGCUAGUAACCGCCGGUCAGCACACGGCGGUGAAUACGUUCCCGGGCCUUGUACACACCGCCCGUCACGUCAUGAAAGUUGGGGGCGCCUGAAGCCGGUGGGCUAACCUUCGGGAGGCAGCCGUCGAGGGCGAAAUCAGCGAUUGGGACGAAGUCGUAACAAGGUAACC